UCCUAGUGGCAAGACUGGCUGCUGAUCUUGGGUAACUAAUGCCUUUUAAUUCUUUUUUACCAGUUUUGUGUGGCUUCAUUUUGCAGCGGAGACAAGAAAAACGAUCUAUUAAUCUCUAUGUUGUCAGAGAUGGGGUGACAAUAGGCCUGCCUCCUCUGGGCCUGCCUCCUGCCUGGCUACUCCUCUCCCUACAACAGGCAGGACAACGGAGUCCUCUGGGGCAUUGGGGGAUGAAGAUAAUGAUGAUAGUGACUGCACAGGAAGGAGAGAACUGGCCCUGGAAGGUCCUUGCCAUGCAUUUUCGGUGGGAAGGCCCCCCUCCCCAUCCCACACACAGUUUAAAAACCCAACAGAUAUUUUUAGCCUGUGCUACAAACAGCUCCAUUAAUGAUUAAUGCUCAAAAACA